GACGGAGGGGGCUAGCGUUGUUCGGAAUUACUGGGCGUAAAGAGUGCGUAGGUGGUUUAGUAAGUUGGAAGUGAAAGCCCGGGGCUUAACCUCGGAAUAGCUUUCAAAACUACUAAUCUAGAGUGUAGUAGGGGAUGAUGGAAUCCCUAGUGUAGAGGUGAAAUUCUUAGAUAUUAGGAGGAACACCGGUGGCGAAGGCGGUCAUCUGGGCUACAACUGACACUGAUGCACGAAAGCGUGGGGAGCAAACAGG
rnacentral:rRNA from 1 species